GAUCGCCGGCGAAGAGAUCUUUCGGUGGCCCUCCGGCGGGCCCCGGAGGCUGAAGAACGGGGGAUUCCUUCUUCCAAAUGUGGCCGGAGAUCGGUGGAGGAGAGGGAAUUUGAGGUAGUUUCCCCCUAGAGGAGCAGAGGUGCUUCUGCUGGUGGUUGUCCCCCUUCCAACGGCGAAGCUCACCUGUCCUCCACCGCCGCCGCUGGUGUGUGGAGCCGGGGAGGGACAGGACGGGCCGUCGGUUACUGCCCCUGUCAGGUGGGAUAUUGUUAACAUGAAAUACGGCCUUCUUAAAGUCAUCGCUUUACAUUGAAUUGGCCACUGUCCGCCAGAUUGGAUGUGAGUAAGCCAAUCUUCCUCUCUUUGAAAGAAGAGAUGCUUCCAUUUCUGCUUGUGUUUCUGUCAAUUUUUUUCUUCUCCAUAUUUUCCUAUCAUUUGGAUUAAUAAUUUUUUGUGAGGAACUGCUUAACUACUGAUGACGCUGAUUUCCUGACUUGAAUGCGGAACUUAGGAAUCCAGUGUGUGUUGUCUUGUUGUCAACAGGAAGUUUCAAUCCUCCUACUUAUAUGCACUUGCGAAUGUUUAGUACGUUCAAAUGUAUUAUUUAUAUUUUUUGUCUAUUACAAAAUUGCCUGAUUAUGAGGAACACAUUGACGGGGUGAGAUAGAUAUGUACCGCUUAAGUUGGACAACAUGAGAUACAUUCUCAAGAAAACUUCACGUGCGGUGCAUUGUUGCGUGUCGUGCUGUAUGAUGUCCUUUUCAGUGGUUGGAUAGUUAGAGCCGAAAAGAGGUUUACGAUUCUCCAGCUAGUUGAGAUUCCUGGGGGAGGUGGAGGUGGGUCCAUUGCAUUCUUGAAAGAGCGAACAAGGUCUAGAAGUCUUGUUGUACCAUUCGGGAAGACUGCUUGAAAUUAAAGCUUCUCCAGAGAUGUCUGAAGGAAAGUUUCCUGCAUCAUGUCCAUUUGAAUAAUUCCACUCAUGUUUCUGCAGUUGUGAUAGUGAUCUGCAUGUUCCCAUCAGUUAAUGUAUUGUAAAGUGUAGUUAUGUCUGGGCGCUUAGUAAGUUUCUUCUAAUCAUUGAUAAGUCGCUGUUGUAAAUUUGUGAUACAACUGGAUUUUAUACUUGUUGGAGUUUCUUUAAUGAAAAAAUAACUGACAUUGAUUCAAAUUAUUAGCGUGGAUGCUCUGCAGUUUUUUUCACCAUGUUGUAGAUCGAACUAGAUUCGGUGCUGGAAAGGCCAGCCUUGUGCUCGUGGAGAAAACUCCAAGUUCAAACAGAAAGGACCUUUUCUCUCCUUCAAAGAAUUGUUUACGAUGUGGUGGGGGUUGGUUUGAUAUUUAUACCAGACCAUGGAAGGUUCCAGACACACAGGAAUAGGAGGCUGUGUCAACAUGACACAUGAGAAAGUGUAAGAAGAAAAAAAGGGUCUUCAGAAUGUGUUCACAGAGUCAUAAUUGUAUAGACACGUUCCUCAACAUAUAUCCGUGAUUUUCAGAACAUAACCAGCUAUCCUUGGGAUUAUGUCCAGUCAGCACACCCAUAUAUUGGUCACUCAAUUUAAAAAAGGUGAUGUUCAAUAUCAUGGCUGAGAAGAUAGAAAUGUUCUGACAAACAUAGCCAUUAUUACUAGAGAAUAGUAAUAAGUAAUAGCACAUAAUAGGGACCUUCACAACUUGAAGGUGCUUGCUGUGUUGCUUAUAACAGUGACCUUUCUUUAUUGAUUUUUAUGCCUGUUUAUCAUCUCAUUGCAGGAAACACUAGUCUAUUAAACAGCGUUUCAAAUUGAGACCUCAUCUUAAAAUUCAUGGCAGCUCCGUAUAUAAUAGUUAUAUAUAUUUAACUUUGCCAACUAAUUAAUGGCAACUUGUUUUCAUGUGCUUAUUGCAGAUGAUCAAAUCUAUUAGAAAACUUCCAUAGACGCAUUCGAUAUUUAUCGGUUCAUUCAUCUUUCCUUCAAGACUGGAAAUAAAUAGUUGUCAUUUUCAAGACUGAAAAUAUUCUUGAUAAUAUUUUGACGACAACUUUAUGACUGAAGGCAGAAAAGAACUAGGUACAUUCCUAAGAAAAAGUACAUGUCAAAGAAAAAGUGAGACCUUUCAUUUAAUUUAAUUCGUUCCAAUGCUGUAUUGGUCAGUUGCUGGUAUCUUGUGUCUUCUUGGCAUUCACUUCUCCCAUGUUAGUUUAUGUGUAAAUUAUAGAUAUCGAUUUUAUUUCUUACUUAUACAAUUUUAACAAAAGUUCCAAGUGAUUGUCCCUUUAAAGGUAAAACGAUUGUUGCUUCUGGACUGUUCAAAUAAAAUGGCAGUGAUCGUUUAGAUACGAAUAUAAGUGAAACAAACAAAGAUAUACUGAUCAGUUAUUUGUAUUUUUGUGCAGUGCAUGGUUAAGAUAACUUUUUGACAGAAUAGGGCCUUUUAAAAUUUAAUCAAAUAAACUAGCUUCCACAAAAGGCACUUUUUUGUGUAGUUAAAAGGGUACGAAGCCUACAAGCAUAGACCAAAUGCUCCUACUGCUCAAUUUAUGUUUCUAAGCUAAAAGGCAGUCACCUUUUCAUAAACUGUUAUAAUUAUAACAUAUUAAAGGGAAUGAAAUUCAUUAUUGUUUGGCCAUUGGCAGGCUCCACUGAUAAAGACUUGUGCUAAGUUUAGUUCUUUUUUUUCUUGUUUUCACUAGAAUUGGCAAGGGAUGCUCUAAAUUCAAAUGGGUGUUUUGCUGUUGGAGCCUACAUGUCUCCUGUGAAUGACUCAUACAAAAGGAAGGUACUCAUUCAUGUAAUAUUUAAUGAAUAUGCAUACAUGAAACAUUCAAAAAGCCUUAUACAUGGAUUUGGCUGAUAAAUAUAUUUUCUAUCCAUGUUUUCCAUGCUUAAGACGUGCAACAUCCAUUAUCCCAUGGGCAGUAAAGAUCCGUUCAACAUCCAUGUGCACAUGGCAUCAUAUUGCGAUUGCCUCGUUGUAGUUAAUGCCUUUAAGCUUUCUUGUAGCUAGAUAGAUCAUGAACUUCUGGUGUCCUAUUACUGCCUUAUAAUUACACUGUCAAAGAAUAAGGCUGGCCAAGUCAAAAUAGACUACUAUGAGCACAAGGACUGAAGUCCCCAAUUAUCUGUCAGGCCCAUAUCAACUAACGUCUACACUUAAUUCAAAUCUCUAAAACUAUCUUAUAUUCAUAAUUUUUUCAUGUUCACCACUUGAUUGGCCUAUAUAAUUUACUGCAUGAUUUUGUUUGUCCUAGUCGAAAGGAUAAAAGAAAAUUAUCACAUCAUGUAGGUUUUUGAUGUAAACUGGGAAAGAGAGAAAAUUGUAUUACAUCUGUAGUUUUUAUUUUUUGUAUUCGAAAGAGUUUUGGGUCAUAAUCUUUGAUAUUUCGAUUUUUUUUGGUAACUCUUAUUCCUUCUCAUUAGAGUUUUGCAAGUUCAUUUUCAUUUCUUAGGUGGUAUUCCCUCUCAGACCUUUUCUUUUUUCUGAACCUCCACAAUAUGUGUGCAUAUGGCCAUAAAGCCUUUGUUUUCAAGCCUAACUUUAUUUUAAAUCAAAUUAUCAAAAUUGGAAAUUUUGGAGUAUCUUCAUGUUGAUAACAUGAGGUAAGACUGUGUUUUGAGAGGUGUUGAAGUUCAGCUCUCAAAAUGUAUCAUUGUGUUGAAAACGAAAAUACCUUUGGAAGGACCUGUUGGGGCCUAGAAGAGAGAAAUCAUCUUCUUGGGGCCAUUGAGUUUUCCGUUGUUAAUUUGAGUUUAUGGUACACUUAUACGGAGAGCCUCCUGUAAGAGGAUAUAUGAUAGAACGCCCCUGUAGUUAUUUUUUUCUACACUUCCGACAGUUAGGAACUUGGAGCUGAGCCACAAUUGAAAAGCAGUAGUAGGAGCGAUGACGGGCUGAGUGGAUAAUUUUUUAAACUUGAAGUUCAAAUUUUGUCACGAAAGCAUGAAAAAGAACUUGGCGUGCCAUUUUAGUCAUGAAAGCAUAUAACAGCUGGGAGAUGCAGUAUUUUAACCAUUUUGUAAAACAAUGUGAUUAAACCACAGAUGGCAGAGGCAGUUUCGAUUGUAAGAACACUGAAAAAGAUGAUCCAUUAUUGUUCUUCUAUGAAUGGAGAAAGGCCUACUCAAAUAAUCCAAUCAAAUCGCCAAAAAAGCUGCUCAAUUAGCCAAAGGAAAUUACCAAGAAACUGUGAUGAUAUCAUAAAGCUUACCUACUCAAUCUAGUCAAAUGAAUGAGCUUGAUUAAGACUAUAUAUUAGAUCUUUUUAAGACCGUCUACUACUGGCGAAGCAUUAUGGCAUUGUGUCAAGUGCCUCAUUAGAGGAUUUGGGCCACAU
rnacentral:lncRNA from 1 species